rnacentral:rRNA from 1 species
GACGAACGCUGGCGGCGUGCCUAAUACAUGCAAGUAGAACGCUGAAGAGAGGAGCUUGCUCUUCUUGGAUGAGUUGCGAACGGGUGAGUAACGCGUAGGUAACCUGCCUUGUAGCGGGGGAUAACUAUUGGAAACGAUAGCUAAUACCGCAUAACAAUGGAUGACACAUGUCAUUUAUUUGAAAGGGGCAAUUGCUCCACUACAAGAUGGACCUGCGUUGUAUUAGCUAGUAGGUGAGGUAAUGGCUCACCUAGGCGACGAUACAUAGCCGACCUGAGAGGGUGAUCGGCCACCCUGGGACUGAGACACGGCCCAGACUCCUACGGGAGGCAGCAGUAGGGAAUCCUCGGCAAUGGGGGCAACCCUGACCGAGCAACGCCGCGUGAGUGAAGAAGGUUUUCGGAUCGUAAAGCUCGGUUGUAAGUCAAGAACGGGUGUGAGAGUGGAAAGUUCACACUGUGACGGUAGCUGACCAGAAAGGGACGGCUAACUACGUG